UUAAGUUCAGAGCUUACAUUCAUUAUGUCAUCAGGUGUUGAAAAAUAAUGACUUUGUAAUUCUGUUAUUCCAUAGCAUUUUUAAUAUUGGACUUGUGUAAAAAAGAACUUUCCCUCUUUCAAUAAUUUGGUUAUCUUUCAAUAUUUUUAUACCACAGAGCAGAGAAUAAGCAAAAAAGUUGCAAUAAGUAAUGCCCGUAGGUCUUGGAUCCAUGUGGGACAUCAUCCAGGGGAACCUGCCCUUGGUGUGUCCAGCCUGCACCUAGUGCAGCUGAAGGGCACUGGGAGGGCCUUUGUUCCUUGGGUAUGUUAAAUAAACUGGGUUGUGCACCUGCAUUUUCACUGUGACCUGUCAUGUGAAGUCAGGUGUGGAAUUUUCCACUUGUGGUGUUAUGUUGGUUCUCAAAAAGUUUUCGAUUUUGGAACAUUUCGGAUUUCAGAUUUUCGGGUUAGGGAUACUCAGCCUAUACCACGUGUUGUGGCCGGAUGCUUCACAUUUACUAUUAAUCAUGGACCAGGCUUGGUGGCUCACGCCUGUAAUCCCAGUACUUUGGAAGGCCGAGGUGGGCGGAUCACCUGAGGUCAGGAGUUCCAGACCAGCCUGACCAACAUGGUGAAACCGUCUCUACCAAAAAAUUUAAAAUUUGACAGGAGUGGUGGCACAUGCCUGUAAUUCCAGCUUCUUUGGAGGCUGAGGCAUGACAAUCACUUGAACCCAGGAGGUGGAGGUUGCAGUGAGCUGAGAUCGUGCCACUGCACUCCAGCCUGAGUAAGAGUGAGACCUUGUCUCAAAAGAAAACAAAAAAAAAACCAGUAAAACAAAAAACAAUAAACAAAAACAAAACAAAACAAAACAAAAAACAAGGUUAACGGAACCUCAUGAUUGGAUGAGAUGGCUGUGGGAAGCUGGGCUGCCCAGGAAGCGGACUCAGAGAGCAAACCGUGCGCCUGCCUUCCACACUGGAAGGGAGCGUCAGGAAGCCGAACUGCAGAGGGUACUGACGCAGCCCCAACACUUCUCCCCGACCUCAGGGGGGAUUCAGUAGCUGGAGAUUCCCGCAGCUGCCCCACGUUGGGGGUAAGGCUGGGCAUUUGUUCCUCCCCUAUUGUUCAGUCAUUGGCUGUGGGCGGCCCCAGGAAGAAGGUGUGACCUUGGGUGGGGCAGUCUUCUUCAGCCAAUCCUCAGAAAGGACUAACAGCACUCUCAGCAGAGGGAGACUGAGUCCUUCAUUCCUGGGAGGUGUCUGGGAAGCACAUCGCAGUGUGCACCGCAGCAGGUAUUAAUGUGUCAUUUUACAGAUAAGAAAACUGAGGUUCAGAAGGGACAGAGCCAGGAUGUCAGCCUAGAUCUAUUAAUACCUUUGAAUCCUGUGCUCUUUCCCACCGUCCUUGCUGCCAUUUCCGCACAUUUUCAUGCCUUCCCCACUUCUUACCGGGACCGCCAUGUUUCUGGGUAAUCUUGUACUCUCUGUUCUAGUCUUGCUCUCCUGUCCUGCCCCGGGCAGUCUGUCUCUUGGUCAGCUGUCUCUCUUCACCCCAGCUUUGGCUCUGUUCUCAGGGCUUGAUCCACCACAUCACAUUCCGCGCUCGCUGCUGCCUGAACUCAUCAAAGUGGACCCAGUGAAAGCUGUGUUGAGGAGGACUAUUCUGGUGCUGAGGCUGGGUACAUUCAUGAGGCCAGGAACACGGGAUUGAAUUCCAAGCAGAGCACCAGGAUACCUGUAGCAGAAAUCCAGGCAAGAGCCAAGAAGAUGGGAACGGAAUAGCAAGCGCUGAAUUAAUUAAUUAAUUAAUUAAUUUUUUGAGAUGGAGUCUUGCUCUGUCGCCCAGGCUGGAGUGCAGUGGUGUAAUGUUGGCUCACUGCAACCUCCCCCUCCGGGGUUCAAGCGAUUCUCCUGCCUCAGCCUCCCAAGUAGCUAGGAUUACAGGUGCCCGCCACCAUGCUCGGCUAAUUUUUUGUAUUUUUAGUAGAGACGAGGUUUCGCCAUGUUGGCCAGGCUGGUCUGGAACUCCUGACCUCAAGUGAUUGGCCGGCCUUGGGCAAGUGCUGAAUUUAAACACGGCUCUCCUGAGGACUUCUAUUGGGUUCUGCCUAGUGGUAACCGCCGAGGCUUCGCUUACUCUGUAGAUCUCCCGGGAGCAGCAGGAAACAAGAAACCCUUAGCCUUUUCAAAGUAAUAGCCAUUCUCCUCACUGACCUGACAAAGACGGAUGUCAAGUGGGCCCUGCAGGAGUUUGACAGUUUGUCCAAACAACUGUUUUUAGUUGAGGCUAUAAAUUCUUAGGAAAGGGUUUGUCAGUGUGGCACAUUAAAUCAGUUGGCCAGUAUGCAUUACUCUGACCAUCUUCUUAGAAAGCAACGUCUUUGGGGAUUUUCAGAUGAGUGAAUAUUCAAUGCUCUGUCUUUUAGCAUUAUCAUCCACUUCCCCUGCCCCUCAUAGAAUUGUUUUGAGCUUCACUUAGAAAUUGGCUUUAUUAGCUAGGAAAGGGGAAUUCUUUUCACAACAAUCGGAAAAUGUAAUCCCUUAGUCAGGCGGCUGGAGUCCUUUAAUUCACCUCUCCGGACCUUGGGCUGCUGGCUGCUCCUCUCUGCCGCCUGGCUGUCUCUCCCUUACCUCCCAGAGUUAGGGUAAUAGCUGACAUUUUUCUUCACUAGGCUUUCCUAAGGGAUUUCAUUCCAUUUGUGAGACACUUUAAUUCCUGAAGCUGCAAAGUUUGCUUUUUAUUACUAUAGCUCUACUUAUUCUGCAUAAUUUUAUUUAUUAUUUGUUUAUGUAUUUAUUUUUUGAGACAGAGUCUCGCUGUGUUGCCCAGGCUGGAGUGCAGUGGCGCCAUCUCAGCUCACUGCAACCUCUGCCUCCUGGGUUCAAGCAAUUCUCCUUCCUCAGUCUCCUGAGCAGCUGGGACUACAGGCACGUGCUACCACGCCCAGCUAAGUUUUGUAUUUUUAGUAGAGACGAGGUUUCAUCAUAUUGGCCAGGCUGGUCUCGAACUCCUGACCUUGUGAUCCACCUGCCUCAGCCUCCCAAAGUGCUGGGAUUACAGGCGUGAGCCACCACGCCUGGCUUAUUCUGCAUAAUUUUUAAGAGUUGUGAAUUGUUUUAAGAUCAAAUUUAAAAGUACAUUUUCUUUCUUAUCUUGUCAUUAACUGAUGUUGGGUAUGUGUGUGUGCUUGUGAUUUCCCUGGCUGGACCAGUGUAUAACUUCAAAGAGGGCUGGUGCCUUGCCUUUAGUCUGCUGGAUAGCACUCCUCCAGACCCUCCCUUUGCUGAGCAGCUCCGUGGACCUGUGCAAAUCUCUACCCAGCUUUGUUGGACAACAAAAUACCCUGGAGAAUAUCAAGCCCUUUAACAUACCCAGUUUGUGCUCCCAGACGUAAGAUCUCUUUGGCCAUGUAUGUGGGAUUCCCAUGAAGGAGAAGCUUCAUUUCCAGCAAGAAUCUGGCUUCCACCUAGACUUGGGAAACAGAUACUGAAAAGCAUAUUGCUGAUCAACUAGACAACCUACUUCCACUCUUGAUUGCCCCUGUAAUCCAUCUAGAACAGCCAGAGCAAUUUAUUUAUUAAAAAAUUUAAAAUUGGCCAGGUGCGGUGGCUCACGCUUGUAUCCCCAGCACUUUGGGAGGCCGGGGUGGCAGAUCACUUGAGGCCAGGAGUUAAGAUCAGCCCGGCCAACAUGGUGAAACCCUGUCUUUACUAAAAAUAGAAAAAGUUGCCAGGCAAGAUGCCUUACGCCUGUAAUCCCAGCACUUUGGGAGGCCAAGGCAGGUGGAUCACGAGGUCAGGAGAUGGAGAUUAUCUUGGCUAACACGGUGAAACCCCAUCUCUCUCUACUAAAAAUACAAAAAAUUAGCCGGGCAUGGUGGCACACGCCUGUAGUCCCAGCUACUUGGGAGGCUGAGGCAGGAGCAUGGCUUGAACCUGGGAGGCGGAGGUUGCAGUGAGCCGAGAUCGCACCACUGCACUCCAGUCUGGGUGACAGAGCGAGUCUCUGUCUCAAAAAAAAAAAAGAAAAAGAAAAAAGAAAAGAAAAGAAAAAAUUAGCCGGGCAUGGUGGUGCGUGCCUGUAAUCCCAGGUACUCGGGAGGCUGAGGCAGGAGAAUCUCUUGAACCCGGGAGGCAGAUGUUGCAGUGAGCCAAGAUCGCACCAUUGCACUCCAGCCUGGGUGACAGAGUGACUCCAUCUCAAUAAAUAAAUAAAUAAUAAGUAAAAUUUUAAAAUUAUUCAAAAAUUUAAGAUUAUUUAUAUGUGUUUUAUAGAAAGUCAGAUAUAGCAGGUAAGCAGAUUAAGAAAAUAAAAUCCUUAUAUUUCCAAAAGAUUAAGCUUUAAUAUAUCCUUCUAGUAUAGUGUGAGAUAUAUACUUCAUGUGUGUAUGUAUAUACAUAUAUACUUACCAGGUGAAAUUAUACUGUACAUGCUAUUUCAUAAUCAGAUUUUUUUCCAGUUAAUCUCAAUUUUACCAUGUUGAUACAUUUUCAUCUCUUCUAAUACCUAACCUCAAUUUCAGUUAUCCCAGUUGUUCCCCAAAUGUCCUUUCCAGUUGGUUUGUUCAAAGCAAGACCCGCCAGGCACACUGACUCACACCUGUAAUCCCAGCACUUUGGGAAGCUGAGGCAGGCAGAUCACUUGAGGCCAGGAGUUCGAAACCAGCUUGGCCAACAUGGUGAAUCCCUGUCUCUACUAAAAAUAGAAAAAAUUAGCAGGGUGUGGUGGCACACACCUGUAGUCCCAGCUACUCUGGAGGCUGAGGCAUGUGAAUUGCUUGAAGCUGGGAGACAGAGGUUGCAGUGAGUUGAGAUCAUGUCACUACACUCCAGCCUGGGUGACAGAGCAAGGCUCUGUCUCAAACAAACAAACAAACAAACAAACCAACCAACCAAAGCAGCCACACACACACAAAAAAACCAGAAACAAAGCAAGACCCAAUCUAGGUCCCACAUGACAUCUGGUUGUUGUUUCUUUUUAUUUUAUUUUUGAGACAGAGGCUUGCUGUCACCCAAGCUAGAGUGUAUUGGCGCGAUCUCGGCUCACUGCAACCUCUGCCUCCGGGGUUCAAGUGAUUCUCCUGCCUCAGCCUCCUGAGUAGCUGGGAUUACAGUCGCCCACCAUCACGCCUGGCUAAUUUUUGUAUUUUUAGUACAGACUGGGUUUCACUAUGUUGGCCAGGUUGGUCUUGAACUCCUGACCUCAGGUGAUCUGCCCGUCUCGGCUUUCCAAAGUGUUGGGAUUACAGGCAUGAGCCACCGUGCCUGGCCAGGUUGUUCUCUUUCAUAAUCAGUUUUAGAAUCAGAAAAUUUAACAUUUACUAUAAUAAUAUUAUCUAACCUAGAGACCAUAUUUAAUUGCCGCCAAUUUUCCCAACAAUAUCUUUUAUAGAAUUUUUUUUGGACGAAGAGCCAAAUUCAGAAUAAGGCAUUGUGUUUGGUUGCCAUGUCUCUUUAUUUUUCUUUAAUCUGAAUAGCUUGGCAUUCUUUGUAAAAAGAGCUUUCUCUUAUUAACUGGGGUGAUUUGGUUGUCCUAAAAUACAGUUUCUAGAACUAUGAUAACUAUAACCAGAAAAUGUAAUCUUUAAAAAAUAUAAACUAUAUAAUAUAACACUCCCCACUUCUCUCCAAAGCACUUCCCAGGUUAAAACCCUUGAAAGACUUCACAUUUCACACCCAAUAAAGUCCAAACUGCUUACUGUGCUGUGCAGGCUGAUCUAGCUCCAGGCCCUCAUUUCCUAUACUUUUCCUCUGCACUGACUUUGCUCCAGCCACAUUGGCUCCUUGCUGCUUCAGGGAUACAGUCAACUCAUUCCUGUCUUGAUGCCUUUGCUUUUGCCCUUCCUUCCAAUGAUUUACAACUAGGUCUUCACGUGUUGGCUUCUUCCAGUCACUGAAGCCUUAACUCCUUCCCUGACACUCAGUCUAUGGAGCUCCUCUCUGACAUAAUCUUGUUUUAUUGUCUUCACAACAUAUCUCACUGAAUGAAAUUAUCACAUUUAUUAGUUUUCUUCUUAAAUUUCUAUCUCCUUUUCAAAAAAUGUAAGCUUCAUGAAGACAUGGUUCUUUUUUUUUUUUUUUUUUUUUUCUGAGACAGAGCCUUGCUCUGUCGCCCAGGCUGGAGUAUAGUGGCGUGAUCUUGGCCCACUGCAACCUCCGACUCCCGGGUUUCGAUGAUUCUCCUGCCUCAGGUUCCCCAGUAGCUGGGAUUACCGGCGCAUGCCACCACGGCUAAUUUUUGUAUUUUUAGUAGAGAGGGGGUUUCGCCAUUUUGGCCAGGCUGGUCUCGAACUCCUGAGCUCAGGUGAUCCGCCCACCUCGACCUUCCAAAGUGCUGGGAUUACAGGCAUGAGCAACUGUGCCUGGCAGAAGACAUAGUUCUUGUCUGUUUUUUUUUCCUCUAGUGCCUAGAAUAAUUUUUUUGUUUAUGAUAAGUUCUCAACAAAUAUUUCUUGAAUUACAACAUAAUACUGGAAGUCCUAGCCAGAGCAAUUAGGCAAAAGAAAGAAAAAAGGACAUUCAAUUUGAAAAGAAGGAAGUAAAAUAGUCCCUGUUUACAGAUGACAUGAUUUUAUAUAUAGAAAAAUCAGGCCGGACGCAGUGGCUCAUGCCUGUAAUCCCAGCACUUUGGGUGGUAGAGGAUGGUGGAUCACUUGAGGUCAGGAGUUUGAGACUAGACUGGUCAACAUCGCGAAACCCUGUCUCUACUAAAAAUACAAAAAAAUUAGCUGGGCGUGGUGGUGCAUGCCUGUAAUCCCAGUUACUCAGGAGGCUGAGGUAGGAAAAUCACUUGAACCUGGGAGGUGGGGGUUGCAGAGAGCCGAGAUCACACCACCACACUCCAGCCUGGGCAACAGAGCAAGACUCUGUCUCAAAAAACGAGAAAAAUAUAAAGACUCUACUCAAUAAGUCUCAGAACUAAUAAGUGAAUUUAGUAAAGUUGCAGGAUACAAAAUCAGUAUUCAAAAACAAGUAGCAUUUCUAGACACAAACAAGAAAAGAAAUCAAGAUGGCACAAUGGUGUACGUCUGUAAUCCCAGCUACUCGGGAGGCUGAGGCAGGCAGAUUGCUUGAGCCCAGUAGUUCAGACCAGCUUGGGCAACAUAGCAAGACUCCCAUCUCAAAAAAAAGAAAAAAAAUUUAAAAGGUAAUCCCA
rnacentral:lncRNA from 10 species